CCGCGUGAGUGAUGAAGGUCUUCGGAUCGUAAAACUCUGUUAUCAGGGAAGAACAAGUAUCGGAGUAACUGCCGGUACCUUGACGGUACCUGACCAGAAAGCCACGGCUAACUACGUGCCAGCAGCCGCGGUAAUACGUAGGUGGCAAGCGUUGUCCGGAAUUAUUGGGCGUAAAGCGCGCGCAGGCGGUCUCUUAAGUCUGAUGUGAAAUCUCGUGGCUCAACCACGAACGGUCAUUGGAAACUGGGGGACUUGAGUGCAGAAGAGAAGAGCGGAAUUCCACGUGUAGCGGUGAAAUGCGUAGAGAUGUGGAGGAACACCAGUGGCGAAGGCGGCUCUUUGGUCUGUAACUGACGCUGAGGCGCGAAAGCGUGGGGAGCGAACAGGAUUAGAUACCCUGGUAGUCCACGCCGUAAACGAUGAGUGCUAAGUGUUAGAGGGUUUCCGCCCUUUAGUGCUGCAGCAAACGCAUUAAGCACUCCGCCUGGGGAGUACGGCCGCAAGGCUGAAACUCAAAGGAAUUGACGGGGGCCCGCACAAGCGGUGGAGCAUGUGGUUUAAUUCGAAGCAACGCGAAGAACCUUACCAGGUCUUGACAUCCCGCUGACCGCUCUGGAGACAGAGCUUUCCCUUCGGGGACAGCGGUGACAGGUGGUGCAUGGUUGUCGUCAGCUCGUGUCGUGAGAUGUUGGGUUAAGUCCCGCAACGAGCGCAACCCUUG
rnacentral:rRNA from 1 species